UUUAUAAAUGUCUGAAGCAAACAUGCUAAAAUUUAUUAUUCAUUGUGUAUUGUGUUUUAUUAUCUUUAACGAUACGUCUGGAAAGCCUGUUAGCAAUGAUACUGAGCUGGGGGUCUAUGUGCCAUUGGAGACUGAUGU